UGCUUCUGCAGACAUGUCAAGAUAACUAUUUUUGAGGCAUACAUGACAUUCAACAGCACCUUUGGUAUUUCCUGUGGCAGCUCCAAUAAUGCUGCUGUGAGCUUAUCUAUAAAGGCAUUGGUUUAUUUCAGUCUUAACCUUCAAUAGAAACACUGAAAAGCAAUGUCCUUCUGCUAUUCCUCAUAUGUUAGAACUAAUUCAAAUUCAAGAGUUUGCAGAGUGUGUGAGUGAAAAUACAGUGGGAUCUGUGAGAAGAUCCAAGCUUUGGUCAACGUAAGUCAAGAAAUGGCAAUCUUCUGGAUGGAAAUGGAAAUCCAUACCAUGGCAGACCUUUGAAGAGGAAAUCAUUGACAGCUUGCUUCUCUAUAAUCUAUUUAGAUAGGGACUAACUGACCGGACUGCCAAAAACUGCGCUAAGGAACUGGUGGAUAUGGCAAGUUCUCACCCAGGCUGUGCAGAUACAGUACGGUCAUUAAAUAAAUGCAUCCGUAUGCCUCAACCUGCAUCUUAAUUAAUGUCUUUGUGCUAUACAGCAAUACCAGUCUGGGGCAUCUGC